UACGUAGGGUGCAAGCGUUGUCCGGAAUUAUUGGGCGUAAAGAGCUCGUAGGCGGUCUGUCGCGUCUGCUGUGAAAACUCAGGGCUUAACCCUGAGCUUGCAGUGGGUACGGGCAGACUAGAGUGUGGUAGGGGAGACUGGAAUUCCUGGUGUAGCGGUGGAAUGCGCAGAUAUCAGGAGGAACACCGAUGGCGAAGGCAGGUCUCUUGGGCCAU
rnacentral:rRNA from 1 species